rnacentral:rRNA from 1 species
UACGUAGGUGGCAAGCGUUGUCCGGAUUUACUGGGCGUAAAGAGUGCGCAGGCGGUGCGAUCAGUCGAAUGUGAAAGCCCCCGGCUCAACUGGGGAGGGUCAUUCGAUACUGUCGGACUCGAAGGCAGGAGAGGGAAGCGGAAUUCCCGGUGUAGUGGUGAAAUGCGUAGAUAUCGGGAGGAACACCAGUGGCGAAGGCGGCUUCCUGGCCUGUUCUUGACGCUGAGGCGCGAAAGCUAGGGGAGCAAACGGG